rnacentral:rRNA from 1 species
GACGAACGCUGGCGGCGUGCCUAAUACAUGCAAGUUGAGCGCUGAAGGUUGGUACUUGUACCAACUGGAUGAGCAGCGAACGGGUGAGUAACGCGUGGGGAAUCUGCCUUUGAGCGGGGGACAACAUUUGGAAACGAAUGCUAAUACCGCAUAAAAACUUUAAACACAAGUUUUAAGUUUGAAAGAUGCAAUUGCAUCACUCAAAGAUGAUCCCGCGUUGUAUUAGCUAGUUGGUGAGGUAAAGGCUCACCAAGGCGAUGAUACAUAGCCGACCUGAGAGGGUGAUCGGCCACAUUGGGACUGAGACACGGCCCAAACUCCUACGGGAGGCAGCAGUAGGGAAUCUUCGGCAAUGGACGAAAGUCUGACCGAGCAACGCCGCGUGAGUGAAGAAGGUUUUCGGAUCGUAAAACUCUGUUGGUAGAGAAGAACGUUGGUGAGAGUGGAAAGCUCAUCAAGUGACGGUAACUACCCAGAAAGGGACGGCUAACUACGUGCCAGCAGCCGCGGUAAUACGUAGGUCCCGAGCGUUGUCCGGAUUUAUUGGGCGUAAAGCGAGCGCAGGUGGUUUAUUAAGUCUGGUGUAAAAGGCAGUGGCUCAACCAUUGUAUGCAUUGGAAACUGGUAGACUUGAGUGCAGGAGAGGAGAGUGGAAUUCCAUGUGUAGCGGUGAAAUGCGUAGAUAUAUGGAGGAACACCGGUGGCGAAAGCGGCUCUCUGGCCUGUAACUGACACUGAGGCUCGAAAGCGUGGGGAGCAAACAGG